UAUGCAUGUCGGCCAGGUGUUCUUUCACCCUUAAGGAAAACCUAGUACCAUCUGAAUGAGUUCUCUGGUAGGAACUACCCUAGGACUCCAUUAGAAUUGUUCAAUCUCAGACACUCCAGCCUUAGAGUAACGGUUGAGAGGGCAUUUGGAGCUCUCAAGAACAGAUUCAAGAUCCUAGAUCAGAAGCUAUUCCUCCCUCACCCUACCCAGGUUAAGCUUGUUCUUGCGUGUUGCAUUCUGCAUAACUGGAUCCUGCAGUGGGGUGUUGAUGAAUUGGUGCCUAAAGAGGAAGAGGGGAUGCCUGACGAUCUUGAACUUGAUGACCCUUGUGUUGAGGCAUUUGACAACGAAGCGUGGAAGAAGAAAAAGGCUGGAGUGGGCACAGAAAGUGUGGGAUAA
rnacentral:rRNA from 1 species